UCUUACUGUCUUAAAAACUCAGAUUCUUUCAUUGAAAUGGCAUUAAGUAAACUUAAGACAAUGCUACAUGGAUUAGAGACUACCUAUAGUGCACCCAACUUGCAGGAUGUCAUUUAGUAUGCGUGUAUUCUUAACCCAACUUGCAGCCUAAUGGCUUUUUAAAGUCAAAACUUCCAUAGUCCUUUUGCAGUAUGAUUUUUGAGGCAUAUGGAGACAGAAUCUGAGCCAAUAUAUUUUAUUCCAAAUGAGGCUCUUUGAUUUCUCACAUGCUUUUGAAAUGUGAUGUUUGUCUACCCUGGAAAACUCUGCCGUUUCAACUCUCUGGAAAGCUAGGAAAGGUUUUGAAUAAUUGUAUCAUGGGUAGUUUUUGGAUUCCACUACUUGUGGGCUACUUCUGCUGGAUAAAUGUGUUGCCUACAUACAGUAUUCUCUUAACCCUGCUUCUCAAAAUCCUAUAUUUUCUGUUGUCAAGUCAAGAAUUACAAAGCCACACUUUGGCAUGGAGAAUACUACUCUACAGUUACUCAUCCUUAAUGACCUGUAGUACAGAAAAGUGAAAACAUUGUGGAGGAGAUAAAUUACCAAAAUAGAAGAUAAGCUGAAAAGGCAAUGGAAAAUAUAUCAUACAUAUCAAAGUUGCUCAUUUAUGCUAUUUUGCCAUAACAAUGCAUACAACUGAAGCACUUCCCUUCUCCAUUGGAGUUUUGUCUCUAGAGGUAUUAAAUAUUAAUCUUAUAAAGAAAAGAAAGCAAAAAAAAAAAACCCUGAACACAUGUUAAUAGGUUAGGGUUUUAAGAGCAAAUCACAAAAGCAGAAUAAGUACUUGGAGGAAAAAAACAGGAAGAGAGAGAAAGAGGGAGAGAGAGAGAGAGGUGGGGUAAAUUGUGGACCCUCCUUUUAAAGAAACAAAAUUUUCCACAGAGUUGCAUUAAUACUUAAAUUGGACUAACUCCAUGUGAAUCCUCGUAAGAAAUACUAUUUCCUUUCAAUUAACUCAUCUAUCCUACAAUUACAUGUCAUGAAAUCUAAAGGCAAAUAUGUUUACCCAGUAAGGGAAUAACAUUCGAGGCAAAAGUGAUGUCACAAACAGAUGGGAAUUCCAAGUAAUACUGAGUCAUGGUUCUAGGGGAAUAAAACAAUUACUUUACAGCUCAGUGCAAUGUAGUAUUUAAAGAAAAGGUAUUUCAAUAGAAUAGCCCAGACAAUUAUUCAACAUUUAACAGAGAUUAUAUUAGUCUAGAUAUGUUAAUUUGGAUUUUAUUCUGUUUUUUAUUUAUGUUAAUAGGUUUGGUUACUGGUUUAAAGAAAUAUUAGAAGUUUAUCUUUUAUUUUUACAAAUAGAUUAACAUUUGUCUUAGAGGGAGUUCUGCCCUUCAUGGAUAAUACCUUUACCUGCUAAAUCUAGAUUUCUUUUUCUAUAGUAAGUUUUAAACCAGUAAUUGAUGUAAAAAGAUGCAACAAAUAAAAUUAUAGCUACUAAUGGGCAUGUAUUUAUUAUACAGUAGGCAAUUUGCAGAAAGUUUUAUGUAUAUUAUUUUUAUUAAUCUUUAUGACAUUGGAAUUCCAUCAGGUAGGCAUUUUGAUUCCCAAGUAAACUAAAGAGAAGAAAACUGAGGCUUAAAGAGGGCCUGUUUGCGUGUUCCCAACUGCUAUGUGGCCAAGAAUAAGUAAGUUUAUGUAACGUUCCAAAGAAACUGCUCAAAACCGUGGCUCAUUUUAACUAAGAUAUGAAUAGAAGGCAGAAAUGAAUUCACAAACACUUCUUUCACAUGCACUGCAAAAUAUAACUUUUUACUCCUCCAGGCCAAAAUGGUCUUAACCAUUGAAGUAAUUAUAGCUCACAACUAUAAUUUAAAGUUAGAUCUGGUUGAUUCUAAAUUCACACAGGAAAAUAAUUCACUCAUCUUACUGGAACAUUGACGUAAAUAACUUUAUAAAACCCAUACAGUUUCAGCAAUCCUAGAAAGUGUUGUGAAUCCAAAUAGAAACAGUUGAUAAAUUAAUAAGACAGUUGAUAAAAUAAUUUAGUAAGACAACAAUAAUUGUCUACCAUUUAUUGGUUAAAGUAUUAUGCUUGACACUUUAUAAAUAUUACCUAUUUAAUCGUUACAGCAAUCUUUAAUAUUGGUAUCCUUAUUUACAAAGAAAAUGAGUGCAGAAAGGACAAGUAGUUUUCGUGAAACCACUUGGAAGUGGAGGAGAAGGGUUUUGAACUCCCAUCAUCUCAAGCUCAUGCUUUGCCAUCUCACCACAGUGAAAUGAUGGAAAACUCAAGUCUGCAAACCUUAAAUUUUCAAUCAAAGGGAGGAAACCUUGGGCAAAUGAAGAGGUCAUGGAUAUGAUAUGAAAAUAUUUUAUGAUUUUGCAUGUGAGAAGCUACUGCAUAGAUGAAUUCAACUGCAGGAUCCCUUUUAAAAAAUAUGUAUCUUCAAGAUUGAGUGUGAGCCUUCACAAACUCCUCCUUGUAUCUUAAGUCUGCUGGAGUACUGGCCUGACUCCACUCACUCACUGUGUACUUCGUUUGAAACUAACAAACAAUACAGUGACUGUCAGUAGAUGUUGCCUCCUCAGUCUACAGAGCCAACAAAAAUUAUGGAAAAUGUCAUCAGAUUUCCAUGACAACAUCACGCUGUAUAAUCAACAUGGUUCGAACUAGUCACAUCUUUGCACAACUGGACACAUCAAAAUAAUUGUAUUAUGUCAUCAGUGAUGCCACCAGACAGAGCACCAGCUCCCUUCCUACACUGGAUAGCAGACGUUCAAAUAACGCAAUGUACUGAAGAACUAAUACAGUUUAGACACCAGAGGUCUCACAAGUUAAACCCUCUAUAUAAUACAGAGCCCUCCUGAGAAUCAACUUAAGGUGAAAUGUUUUAAAGAAGAGAUAAUGGUGGUGGUGUGGUGGUACAUGUUGAGCAACCAGCUCUCUGGAGCAACUGAAAAAUACUUCUAAUCUGGCAAAUUCAGCGAGAAGACUGAGUUCCUUAAUUUCUGUCAGCACCAGUGAAAAACUGUCCUAAACUGACCCUGGCUUACAGAUGUACCACUGGAUCUUGGACUAAAUGGUAAUGGUAAUCAUUCUGAGCUUCCAUUAAAAUUCUAAGCCUUCUUCCAUUUUAUUUCUUAUUAACAGCUAUUAUUGUUGUUGUUGUUGUUGUUGUUGUUGUUGUUGUUGUUAUUAUAGCAAAGAAGAACAGCAGAAUGGUUGGUGGAGAUUCCUAUGCUUUCGACCCAUGGCGGGGUCACUAAGUCAGGUGAAUCACCUCCCACCCCUAAAGAUUCCCACCCAGUUAUGCCUUCUAAUGUGCUGUUCACAGUUUAUCAACUGAUUCUGAAAUUCUGAGACUUAACAGUUUUAAACUGA
rnacentral:lncRNA from 1 species